UAAACGGCCGCGGUACUCUGACCGUGCAAAGGUAGCAUAAUCACUUGCCUUUUAAUUGGAGGCUUGUAUGAAUGGUUUGACGAGAACUAAGCUGUCUCCUCAGAAAAUAUUUAAAAAUUAACUUUUAGGUGAAGAGGCCUAAAUAUGUUUAAGGGACAAGAAGACCCUGUUGAGCUUUAGUAACAUAAUAAAUUAUUAGUGAAUUAUUUGAAUGUUUGCAUUUAUAUUGUAAAUUAAAUUUAUUAUUAAUCUUUAGUUGGGGCGACUGAGGAACUGAUAGAGCUUCCUUUGAUAUAUUUAUUUGUAUGAUUAAGACAUACGAGUUGAAUGGAUCCAGUAUUAUUAAAUACUGAUUAAAGGAAAAAGUUACCACAGGGAUAACAGCGUAAUCUUUCUGGAGAGUUCUUAUCGAAAGAAGGGUUUGCGACCUCGAUGUUGGACUAAGAUAUCCUGAAGGUGUAGAAGUCUUCGAUGGUUGGUCUGUUCGACCAUUAAAAUCUU
rnacentral:rRNA from 1 species